GACGAACCGUCCUAACGUUGUUCGGAAUCACUGGGCGUAAAGGGCGCGUAGGCGGCUCAUGAAGGCUGUGGUGAAAGCCCGGGGCUCAACUCCGGAAUUGCCUUUAAGACUGCAUCGCUAGAAUCGUGGAGAGGUAAGUGGAAUUCCGAGUGUAGAGGUGAAAUUCGUAGAUAUUCGGAAGAACACCAGUGGCGAAGGCGACUUACUGGACACGUAUUGACGCUGAGGUGCGAAAGCGUGGGGAGCAAACAGG
rnacentral:rRNA from 1 species